UUAUAUUUCUUUGACAGGAAUGUUAGGUUCAGUAAUUUGUUGAUAGUCCCUAAGUGAACCUUCGGGCGCUGCGGCCGGGAGCGGUGGAGAACCGCUGGCCGAGAGUAGCGUUCCGAAAUCGGAUCAACUUUCAGCUAAACGUCGGUUACUCCGCGGAGCUCGGGCCGGGAGCGGUGGAGAACCGCUGGCCGACAGUAGCGUUCAUAAAUCGGAUCAACCUUGAGCUAAACGCCGCUUACUCCGCGGAGCUCGAAUAUCGAAUAUCCAACUUGAAACUAACUUCACUGCGGUACAUUUACUUGGUCCUUCGAGAGCCGGAUGCCAAUACACCUGAAGGAUUCCGGCAGGUCUGGUGGACCCCAGUACAGACUGUGCGCCCGGCAAGUUUCCUAGUGGAAACAUCAGAUCCUGUUCAAGGGCUGGAGCUCGACCUGCCUGCUGGGAUCUGACGGUUGACGGUGCUCCAGGGAAAGACAACGGGGGAAACCAUAUUAGUGGAGCCUGGAGAUUGGGUGCGAGUAAGGAGCAUUAAGAAGAAACACUGGUACCCAGGUGGGAAGGACCGUACCAGGUGUUGCUGACAACCCCCACCGCUUUAAAGAUAGCAGAAAGUUUCAACUUGGGUGCAUUUGACACACUGUAAAAAGGUCAUUUCAUUUCAAAAGUA